CCUGCAUUGUACACACUGUGUGUGUACCUCAGACUUGCACAGCGCAUACAAUGUGGAUG
rnacentral:pre_miRNA from 1 species